rnacentral:misc_RNA from 1 species
AAAGCCUGAUCUGUUUUUAAUAAGCAGAAGGUUUAGAUAUAUGUUUAAACUUAUGAAACUUAAAGAACAUGAAUUUUAAAGAGGCUUUAUGAAGAAAGUAUUUUAAGCUUUUCCAGUAAUUUAAGAUGAUACCGGGGAAGGUUUUCCGGUUUAUCCCGGAGGGCUUGUAGCUCAGUUGGUUAGAGCGCGCGCUUGAUAAGCGUGAGGUCGGAGGUUCAAGUCCUCCCAGGCCCACCAAUUUAUGCUCGCUUUUUUCUUGUUUAAGAGUAUGAAGCUUAUUAAAGCCUCUACAAUCUUUUUUCCUUGUUAAGGAUUUAAUUUUAUUAUCUAAGGAUUGUUUAGUGCAUUUAUUCCGUUAAAUUUGUCAAAGAGGAUUUUAAGAUGUCUUCAAAGAUGUAGACAAAUUUGAAUGAUAGGAAUCGAAAUAGUAUAAGUGAUUCAAGUCGAUGGAUUUUUUGAGGUUGAUUUGAUUUGAGUGAGCAUUAUUUAGGGGCCGUAGCUCAGCUGGGAGA